UACGUAGGAUGCAAGCGUUGUCCGGAAUUAUUGGGCGUAAAGAGCGCGUAGGCGGUCUAUUAAGUCAGAUGUGAAAUAUCCCGGCUUAACCGGGAGGGGUCAUUUGAAACUGGUAGACUAGAGUACAGCAGAGGAUAGCGGAAUUCCCGGUGUAGUGGUGAAAUGCGUAGAUAUCGGGAGGAACACCAGUGGCGAAGGCGGCUAUCUGGGCUGAAACUGACGCUGAGGCGCGAAGGCUAGGGGAGCAAACAGG
rnacentral:rRNA from 1 species